CCUACGGGUGACAGCAGUGAGGAAUAUUGCUCAAUGGGCGCAAGGCUGAACCAGCCAAGCCGCGUGAAGGACGAAGGUGCCAUGCAUUGUAAACUUCUUUUGUCAAGGGACAAAAUCAGGCUCGAGAGCCUGGCAGAGGGUUAUUGGAGAAAAAGCCUUGGCUAACGCCGUUCCAGCAGCCGCGGUAAUACGGAGGAUUCGAGGGUUAUCCGGAUUUAUUGGGUUUAAAGGGUGCGUAGGCGGGCGGUUAAGGCAGCGGUAAAAGUGCGGGGCUCAACGCCGGCGAGCCGUUGAAACUGGCAGUCUUGAGAUGGCGAGAGGUAUGCGGAAUGCGCAGUGUAGCGGUGAAAUGCUUAGAUAUCGCGCAGAACUCCGAUUGCGAAGGCAGCAUACCGGCGGCGUUCUGACGCUGAGGCACGAAAGCGUGGGUAUCGAACAGGAUUAGAUACCCUAGUAGUC
rnacentral:rRNA from 1 species